rnacentral:ncRNA from 1 species
AACAGCGCAAUCCUAUUUGAGAGCCCAUAUCGAAAACAGGGUUUACGACCUCGAUGUUGGAUCAGGACAUCCAAAUGGUGCAACCGCUAUUAAAGGUUCGUUUGUUCAACGAUUAAAGUCCUACGUGAUCUGAGUUCAGACCGGAGAAAUCCAGGUCGGUUUCUAUCUGUAAAUUCAUUUCUCCCAGUACGAAAGGACAAGAGAAAUAGGGCCAAUAUCCAUAAUAAGCCCUAGAAUUAAUAUAUGAAUUUAUCUAAAUAUACUAAAUCAACCCAUAUACCCCCAAGAACAGGGCUAUUAAGAUGGCAGAGCCGGUAAUUGCAUAAAGCUUAAGCCU